rnacentral:lncRNA from 1 species
GCGGCGGCGGCGGCGGCGGCCCGGAGCCCCCGAGCCCCCGGCAGGUGCGCCUGCCCUUCCCCGCGAUCUGAUUGGAUACAGUGGGGGCUCGACGGUGGCCGCCGUGGGACAGUGCGGCGGCGGCAGGGGUCUCGGAAACCAUGGGUUAUUGCAGCGGCAGGUGCACGCUCAUCUUCAUCUGUGGCAUGCAACUGAUGGGAUGCUGAGGAAGAGAAGGAGAGAGGGAAGGAGAAGAAGGAAGAGAGGAAUAGAGAGAGCGGGACAGAGGGCAGGAGGAGAAAGAAAUAGACCAAGCAGACACAGCAGAAGGUAGGGAGGGGAUGUUUUUGGGGGUCCAGGUUAUUAUUUGUUGAUGGUGGUC